rnacentral:misc_RNA from 1 species
AGACCAUCAUUUGGUUCCCAGCUUUAGAGAGAGAGAUAGAGGUAGGUGCAGACGAUGGCGAGGGACAUAGAUGACCUUCCCAGGCUUGAUGCUAACUACAUGGCCUUGACGCCGCUGUGGUUCCUGGAGAGAGCAGCUACGGUACACCCCACCAGAACAGCCGUGGUUCAUGGAUCAGUUCACUAUACGUGGGAGCAGACCUACCAACGGUGCCGUCGAUUGGCCUCGGCUCUAUCCAGGCGCAACAUCGGCGCUGGAAGCACGGUAGCAAUAAUUGCACCAAAUGUCCCGGCCCUGUACGAAGCUCACUUUGGAGUUCCAAUGGCUGGAGCAGUGUUAAAUACUGUCAAUAUUCGUCUCAACGCAUCAACCAUCGCAUUCCUUCUGGGCCAUUCAAAAUCUGCAAUUUUGAUGGUGGAUCAAGAGUUCUUUUCCUUGGCAGAGAAUGCUUUGAAAAUCUUAGCAGAGAAUGAUAACCAUUAUAACCCUCCACUAUUGAUUGUUAUAUCUGAUAAAAGCUGUCGUCCCGAGUCACUCAAGGAUGCUCUGGGAAAAGGGGCCAUUGAAUAUGACAAGUUCCUGGAAAGCGGUGACCCUGAGUUUGCUUGGAAACCACCAGAGGAUGAGUGGCAGAGUAUUGCUUUGGGUUAUACUUCCGGCACAACAGCCAGCCCCAAGGGGGUAGUGCUUAGCCACCGGGGGGCAUAUCUCAUGGCGUUAAGUUGUGCUAUGAUAUGGGGUCUCAAUGAAGGAGCUAUUUAUCUGUGGACUUUGCCCAUGUUCCAUUGCAAUGGUUGGUGUUACGCCUGGUCGCUUGCAGCUCUUUGCGGGACAAAUAUUUGCUUGAGGCAGGUCACAGCCAAGGCAGUCUAUUCGGCCAUUGCCAACCAAGGUGUGACUCACUUCUGCGCUGCACCUGUGGUGCUCAACACAAUAGUAAAUGCUCCAAAAGAAGAGACUAUCCUUCCCUUACCCCGCGUCGUCCAUGUGAAUACAGCUGGUGCUGCCCCACCCCCUUCUCUUCUCUUUGCAAUGUCAGAGAAAGGCUUCCAUGUUACCCAUACCUAUGGGCUCUCAGAAACUUACGGUCCAUCCACUGUAUGUGCAUGGAAGCCUGAGUGGGACUUGCUUCCUCCCAUCGAACAAGCUCGCCUCAGAGCACGCCAAGGCGUGCGAUACACUGGCUUGGAGGGCCUAGAUGUAGUUGACCCAAAAACUAUGAAACCUGUACCUGCAGAUGGAGAGGCCAUGGGAGAAAUAGUGAUGCGAGGAAAUCUUGUAAUGAAGGGCUACUUAAAGAAUCCAGAAGCUAACAAAGAAGCCUUUGCAAAUGGGUGGUUUCAUUCUGGUGAUCUCGCUGUGAAGCAUCCAGAUGGGUAUAUAGAAAUCAAGGAUAGAAACAAGGACAUUAUCAUUUCAGGAGGUGAAAACAUUAGUAGCUUGGAAGUAGAAAAUGUGCUAUAUACGCACCCAGCAGUAUAUGAAGUAUCUGUGGUAGCAAGAGAAGAUGAGCUAUGGGGAGAGUCCCCUUGUGCUUUUGUGACAUUGAAACCAGGCACGGAGAAAUCUAAUGAAGGACGUUUGGCAGAAGAUAUAAUCAAGUUUUGCCGGUCGAAAAUGCCUGCCUACUGGGUUCCAAAGUCUGUUGUGUUUGGACCAUUGCCAAAAACUGCUACGGGGAAGAUUCAAAAGCAUGUGUUAAGGGCCAAGGCCAGAGAGAUGGGGCCUGUCAAAAAGAGCAAGUUGUAGAAAAUGAGACUUGGCAUCUUUUUGAUGGCUGAAUAAAAAAAUAACUCCUAGAUGCCAGUGUGGAUGGUUUAGGAUUAUCUAUUGUUGAUCGCUUCAUACUUCUAUUUUAAUUUGAGCUACCAAUAUAAUUUAUCUAGUGUGUGAUUCUACAUGUGGGGUUGCUGAAAUUUAAACUAAAACCUAAAAUUGAAAUUUUACUAUUUCAUGAUGUACCUCUUUAUUUGAUCUUUAUGUGAUUGGUUGACGG